rnacentral:lncRNA from 1 species
UGGAGUUGACCACUCUCACCCUGGCCAUCCUCUGGCUUUGAUUUCCUGCAGAGAGGAAGAUGAGUAUUCAGACCAGUGCUCCGAAUACACAGCAAGCCUUCCCAGGUGUGUGCAGAGGCCCCGGAGCCUGGCCAUCCGUCCGUUCCCCAUGGGCUGCAUGGAGGAAGACCCUGGAAGAGCUAGAACAAGGCCUGGGGGGUCUUGCGGGACUCCCGGAGGACAACGGGAGCUGUCCCUGGAAGGCAGCACCCAGGGCGCCGGGGGAGAAGACGAGCGAGGCCAGCCCAGGGCUCUCAGCAGAGGACAUGAGCUGGAUCAAGAAUGAAAUAACCACAUACGCAGAGAGGAACGCAGCUCUCCGGGUGGCGCUAGGGAGCAAGGAGGAGGAGCUAAGCAGGUCCAAGGUCACCCUGCAAGCAUUCCAGGAGGAACGGGAGAAGCUCCAGAGAAAGGUAUGCAUGACAGCGGUGAUG